AAGCUUCAUUUGACAUUUCCCUGGAGAUAACAAAUCUGCAGGCACUGCAUGCAGGAUCAUGCCCAGAGCGCCCGUCCAGGUUGGAGUGGUCAGGGGCUGGCUUUGCUCCCCAGGACACUCAGGUGUCACUGCAGGCACCCGUGGAGCCGCACAGCCCCAGCUCACGUCAACAGCCAUGGACAAACUGAGACUGUGUCGGGAACUGGAGAUCAGCAGCUGCUUCAUCCCUGAAAGGUGGGGAAGCCUCGGCAAUUCUUCUGAGAUGAAAGCACUGCGAACAGGCUGCCUGGAAGGGAAGCUGGAUGUGCUGAUCUGAAGUGACUGGGAUUGCCCCUGGCUCUUGUUUUAGAAAGGAUGCCACAUUUGCCAUUUUGUGUUCCCUUGGUGGCACAGAGAGCUGUACUACGCACCCCCCCCUACUGAAUUUCAGACCUGCAGAGGCUUUCAGCUGCCUGUUCUCCCCACGAGUUUGUGGCUGCUUCAGGCAUCACCUGCUGUCCAAAGCCCUCCUGAGCCGCAGCUCCUUGCACAGCUGCCCACAGAGCUGCACAAAGAGACAGAGACCUGAAAUGAAAGCACAGUUCACCACUACAGCUCAAGCCUCAUCUUCCUUCAUUCCUCGCUUCCUCAGUAUGUGAGUUAUCCCAGCAAACCUAUCACAACUUCAAAUCAAUCCAGGAGCAGAAAUGAUGAGCAAAUGCAGGAUGCCCUUGUUUAAAGGCAGGAAAAUGUACAGCAAACGCUAAGGUGCUACUGAAAUUUUUCUCACCCUGUCAAAUGCAUCCAAAUCCCAGUUAAUCAACUUGUCUUCCUAGAUGAUGAGUGGAGAGGUGUAAAUGAGAGGUCUCUGCCAUGUCUCCCAAUCUCUAAUGCUUUGAGAAGGGCUCAGGGUGGCAGGAUUCCCGUUACAGAGUCUUGCCUGCAGAGUUGCAGCUCUCUGGCCUCAGAUUCACAAGGCACUUGUAGAUAGGCUUGUUUUUAAGACUGAAA